UACGAGUAGCUCAGUUGGGAGAGCGUUAGACUAUAGAUCGAAAGGUCCCUGGUUCGAUCCUGGGAUUCGACA
rnacentral:tRNA from 1 species